rnacentral:tRNA from 6 species
UGCCGGUGUGGCGGAAUUGGCAGACGCGCGGGAUUCAAAAUCCCGUUUCCUCACGGAAGUAUCGGUUCGACCCCGAUCACCGGUAU